rnacentral:rRNA from 1 species
AUGCGCCGAGCUCGCUCCUCACAUAAUUACCAUGGGAAGCGCAUGGAAGCAAUUGAUGCUGUCAAUGAAUGGAGAUUGCCUAAAGUAAGUGCAGAGGAAGAUGGGGCAGUGGAUCAGAAAGCCUGGCAGGAUGAUACCAUGUCAUGUCGUGUAUCCUCAGCUCGUGAUUGGAACUUCGGGUCUGAUAGUGUCUAUGAGGGCCCUGCGAUGAAACAUAAGGAAAAUGCUGUCCACGCCAAGUUGGUUGCCUGGAAGGAUGCACAGGUUUCAAAGCUCAUUGACAAGCUGAAAGCCCAGAUCGAUGAAUGGCAGAAGAAUAAGUUUACAUGGGCCAGGGAUAAACUGGCAAAAACUGAGAAGAAGUUGGAGAAGCAGAGAACUGAAACCGUAGUGAAGAUGCAAAAGGCGAUAGAAGAUGCAGAGAGGAAAGAUGAUAUGAAGAGUCAAGAAGAGGCAGCCGCCAAGAGUAAGAUAGCUAGUUUCGAGAGAGCCCUUCAGGUGAUGUCUAGGGCAGGAAGGCAGGCCGAUUGUCAAAUACUAAUGAAGGGACCGUAUACUGUACAGAAUGGCGGUUGCCAUAUAGUACUAACCAAAGGAUGA